CUGAGGGUAGCAAUACAACACCACUCGAUAAAAACACCGUAAACUCGAUCGUUAACACAAUAAAGCAAAACAUUAUCGACGAAAAAUUGUAUGGAGACGAAAUAGAAUCCUCUAUUAAAAAUGUUACUGCGACAGAAGCACUCUUCAACGAGGUUGAGCCUUUAUACUCAAAAUUUUGUAAAAACAAGAAUCAAGACAAACUGCUAAAAAUCUUUCUAUGGU